rnacentral:misc_RNA from 1 species
UAAAUAGUUAUGAAAGAAUUUCUCAUUUUGUUAGUUGAUGUUGACGUUUGGUAUGUAUCAGUCUUUAUAAACAUGACAGCUGAAGUCAAAUAAAUACUAAAUGUUUCGAUGAAUUUUUAAAAAGCUUUUUAUAUAAAAAGACGAUGGAUAUAUAUAUAAUUAAGCUUACAUUAAUUUAUUUAUUUAUUAGGCCGACUAAUUUACAACUUCUUAUAAAUGUUAGAAAUCAGGGCGGAGAUGUUAUGCAGGAAAACAUAACAGCGAACGUGUCCGAGGACACUGUCGUUCUGGAAUUCAUGCGGCUAGACGGUGUAUUUGUGUCGCAGCUUGUCGAUUUCACCAAUGAGGUAGAAGCAGUGAAAGUGAUAAUACCUGGAGAGGAGGAGCUCGGCCAGAGUGGGCAUCAGACGCUGUGCUUCCUCACACACGCUGCGCAGGCUGACUUCAUCACCCCUGAUGCUAUGGCCAAGCUAAGACAGAAAAAUCCAGGCACAGUUCGCGUGGCAGAAGAGGACAAGGGUUGGCGGCAGACCACUGCAACGUCGUGGGCGGGACGAGCCACGCGGCUGUUGUCAGUGGCGGCGGCGCGGCAUUGUGCGCAGGCGAGGGACAGGGUGUAUCUCCGCGCCGCUGAUCUUGCCCGAUGGGCACCUAGACCUGGUAUGGACCAAUCCUCAUACAUGUCAGCUGUAACACCAUUCCCUGCGCACGCGCUCUUAUCGGAUUCCUCAGACGGAAAACCGCCACUCGGAGCGUGCGUGUCUGAAAAUGACGGCAGUAAAGAGUGCAUCUGUCAUUUAGAGGUAUGUGUGAACUGGUAUCCGUGUGGGCUAAAGUACUGCAAAGGCAAGCCACAGGGCGGCCUCAGCUACCGCUGUGGUAUCAAGACCUGCCACCGCUGUUACCGCUAUCAUUUUUACGUGCGCCGGCGAGACGGGUGCCUGAACUACACGUGACGACGCGACCGGCCGCUGCGCCAUCUCUGUCUGUCCACACUAGUCAUAGUUGCUGUACAGUUGUAUAAAUAUUGACAGUAGAUUUCUACCUCAGCCCAUUGGCUUGAUUCAAGUGUUCAAAAUGAGACGUGUUGUUUACAAACAUUACCAAGUGGAGUGUACUAAUUGAUGAAACAUUGUUGGUUAAGAAACAGCACAGAGUAAGACAAACUAUGAAUAACGGUAUAUAUAGUAUGCAAAUGAAGAUAUAAAUGAUGUUGUGAGGCAGGCGUGAGAGUUUACACUUCACAACAAUCAGAUCAACAAUUUGAGUUGAUAAGAAUUCAAACUUAGCUCUUGUUGCAUAGCUGAAAAUCCCAAUUGUUUAAGAAGGAUUUCAAAAAUAUUAAAUCAUAGGAUACAUUAACAUUUUGAUUAUUUGUACUGGUUUUUUUAUUUAUUAUGCUGUAAUUCAUAUGAACUAAUAUACUAUUAUGCUUCUGUAUAAUUAUUGAACCCUGCAUAUCCUAAAAGCUGUUGUUUCUUAAGUAACAUGUUCAAGUUGUUGGAAGCUAUGACAAUAUUGUAUACUUGUAAAUAUAUUGCAAAAUCUUAAAUAUAUGUGAAUAUGUUCUUCUAUUUUAUAAAGGAUAUAACUAGAACCAAAAUACAGCUUGUUUAUACCUUUUGGUAUAUUUGAUUUGCAUGUAAUAAUGGAAUAAAAGUUUGCACUAAACCAUCCCAUUAAAUGAAUUAUGUUUAGAAUAAAAUAAUUGUUUUCUAAACUAUAUUUAUUUAUAUUUGUAUAAGUAAACUAUUUCUAUGUUUCUAAGUUUAAUAAACAAUGUAUGAAUUG